GACGAACGCUGGCGGCGUGCUUAACACAUGCAAGUCGAACGGAAAGGCCCUGCUUUUGUGGGGUGCUCGAGUGGCGAACGGGUGAGUAACACGUGAGUAACCUGCCCUUGACUUUGGGAUAACUUCAGGAAACUGGGGCUAAUACCGGAUAGGAGCUCCCGCUGCAUGGUGGGGGUUGGAAAGUUUCGGCGGUUGGGGAUGGACUCGCGGCUUAUCAGCUUGUUGGUGGGGUAGUGGCUUACCAAGGCUUUGACGGGUAGCCGGCCUGAGAGGGUGACCGGCCACAUUGGGACUGAGAUACGGCCCAGACUCCUACGGGAGGCAGCAGUGGGGAAUAUUGCACAAUGGGCGGAAGCCUGAUGCGGCAACGCCGCGUGCGGGAUGACGGCCUUCGGGUUGUAACCCGCUUUCGCCUGUGACGAAGCGUGAGUGACGGUAAUGGGUAAAGAAGCACCGGCUAACUACGUG
rnacentral:rRNA from 1 species